rnacentral:tRNA from 1 species
GGGCCCGUAGCUCAGUGGUUAGAGCAGGCGACUCAUAAUCGCUCGGUCACGGGUUCGAUCCCCGUCGGGCCCACCA